GGGCCUAUAGUCUAAUGGACCAGGACACACCGCUUCGGACGGUGGAAUCAGGGUUCGAAUCCCUGUAGGCUCA
rnacentral:tRNA from 1 species